CGCUCAUGAGUUCCUAAGCGUUCUCCUGUCCCAGCUUAAAGAGGAGGGGGUUUCCCUGAGGACAAGGGUGGGGCUGCACCCCUACACGGGUUCCAUAGAGGCAAAUUGUGAAUUUGGCCUCCUGUCCAUCAGAAAGUGCCUCAGCUGCGGGGAGAAGGUGUGUAGGACAGAGUCCUACAACUGCUUGUCUGUGAACUUGGUCCCUGGGGGCUCUGUGCAAGACAAUUUUUGCCCUUUACUUCAAGGGCUAUGAGGUAGAGUGUCGGUGCCAGUGGUGAUUUAGAGUUGGCCACUGUGGAGCAGAGGUUACAGUCACUGCCUCAAGUGCUGGUCGUGCAGCUGAAACGGUUCAGUUUUAACUCCAGAGGGAACCUGGUGAAGCUGCACGAUCACCUGCACAUCUCCCCACAGCUCAGCCUGCAGGCCCACAGCAGGGCCAACGUUCGCCUGCCAGGGCUGCCCAAGCCCCACCUGACCCAUGGGGAUUUUGCAACCUCCCCCUCACCAGAGGGAGCUGUUCUCUUUACAGAAUGAAUACAGUCAUCAGCAUGCUGUCCCACAUUGGAUCCAGCAUGCAACACGGUCAUUACAUCUGUGAGAGCUGUGAUUGCAACACAAACGACAACGAGAGAGUAAAGCAGCUGGACCAGAAGUCUGUGUUGAAGCGGAGGUCAAACUCCGCCUACAUGCUGUUUUAUGAAUACAGGUGAGAGCUCGUCCAUAACAAAAGCCCUGCUGUUCUGUGAUUGUGGUACAGGUAGAAUUACUGCUGAGCUAUAAGUACAGGUGACAAUAGCAUCAGGUUCAGUUGUGUUGGGGGAGGUUUGCAGGCAGUGUGACUGGGCUGGUGUCUGUUGUAGGGGUGCUGGUGUAUAGAGAUGGAACCAAGGCCAUCUUUAAAUGAGACUGCCCAGUCCUCUCUGCCUCUACAAGAGUGGAACAGCCAUGUAUGUUUUUCAUUUGUUGCUGAUGUUGCUUGAAAUGUAUAAUGUAUAUUAUAAGCAUUGUGAAAAAAAUUAAUGGUCAUCAUACAAAAAUUUGCCAUUUUGCUUUUCCUGCUUCCACGACCUCUGCCAUAGGUUUUGUGGUUACAUUUGUUUGUGCUGCGGGUGUGUUUCGUUUUUCCGGUUGGUCAUCAGAUUGAUGUUUGUCUCCGGUUGCUCUGUUUGAAAAAGCUGCCGUUUGUAUGUGAUGUGGAUCAAAGACAUAUUAAAAUGUUUUUAUUUUCUGGUUAAGUUAUCCUUGAACAUACCUUGAGCCAAAUAAACUAUCUAUUCAUCUGUGGGGUCCAUGAUUUCUAUGUGUGCAUGUGUGUGUUCAUGUUUUUUUUAAAUUAUUUUUUAUUAUUAAUUUACUUUGUUUUCAGCAUAUGAUCAAUGUAUUAUCUUGAAUUAACCCUUGUGUUUGGUUUGGGCAAAUGUACUGACUUUACAUUUUUUUAAACCGAUUUUUACCCUUUUGAGAAAUGUUUUUCCUAACCACUGAAUAAAUUUGAUUAUUAUUUUAUGUUUCAAUUUGUUGUUCACCAUCUGUAUUUGUUGUCUGUCUUUUGCCUGUGUGGUUUCUUUGAA